rnacentral:lncRNA from 1 species
GCCUUAAUUAUGUUGUUAAGACCUGCAAAUGUCACAUGCACGUGGUCCCAUGGCUUUGGAUAUACUAUGGAGUUAAUAAUAUUUUUAUUAUCCGUUUAAAAGAGUAUUUUUAUGUAGGCAAAUUGAAAAAAAGAUGUAGCUUACACAUGUUAAACAUGUUACACGUACUAAGGCUUUACCUUAGCGUUUAAAGAAACGAAUCUGUAAUCUGACCCCCUGUUGUCUGACCAUUCUACUAUAGCUGGACGUUCUAUAGGAACCAUUGUUACUUGUUUACAAUAAAGCUACUGUUAGCAUGGUUAGGGCGUUCUACAGGAUCCCCUGGUCGUUCUACAUGAUCCCCUGUUGUCUGAACCUUAUAUAUCUGGUCCUAUAUAUCUACUACAGAACGUUCUAUAGGAUCCCUUAUAUUGUUUGUUUAUCAUGUAUACACUAAAGG